rnacentral:rRNA from 1 species
CGGGAAUUUUGGGCAAUGGGCGAAAGCCUGACCCAGCAACGCCGCGUGAGGGAUGAAGUAUUUCGGUAUGUAAACCUCGAAAGAAUGGGAAGAAUAAAUGACGGUACCAUUUAUAAGCUCCGGCUAACUACGUGCCAGCAGCCGCGGUAAUACGUAGGGAGCAAGCGUUGUUCGGAUUUACUGGGCGUAAAGGGCGCGUAGGCGGCGCGGUAAGUCACUUGUGAAAUCUCUGAGCUUAACUCAGAACGGCCAAGUGAUACUGCUGUGCUAGAGUGCGGAAGAGGCAACCGGAAUUCUUGGUGUAGCGGUGAAAUGCGUAGAUAUCAAGAGGAACACCUGAGGCAAAGGCGGGUUGCUGGGCCGACACUGACGCUGAUGCGCGAAAGCCAGGGGAGCAAACG